ACCCAUGACCAAAUCAUCCAGAAUGCACCCGAUGUUGUCGGAUCUCGGAAGUUAAGUAGGGUUUAUUCUGGUUAGUGCUUGGAUGGGCGACCGCUAUGCACAAACAGGUUGUUGUAAGGG
rnacentral:rRNA from 1 species